GGUCAAGUGAAGAAGCGCAUACGGUGGAUGCCUUGGCAGUCAGAGGCGAUGAAAGACGUGGUAGCCUGCGAAAAGCUUCGGGGAGUCGGCAAACAGACUUUGAUCCGGAGAUCUCUGAAUGGGGGAACCCACCUAGGAUAACCUAGGUAUCUUGUACUGAAUCCAUAGGUGCAAGAGGCGAACCAGGGGAACUGAAACAUCUAAGUACCCUGAGGAAAAGAAAUCAACCGAGAUUCCCUUAGUAGUGGCGAGCGAACGGGGAUUAGCCCUUAAGCUUCAUUGAUUUUAGCGGAACGCUCUGGAAAGUGCGGCCAUAGUGGGUGAUAGCCCCGUACGCGAAAGGAUCUUUGAAGUGAAAUCGAGUAGGACGGAGCACGAGAAACUUUGUCUGAACAUGGGGGGACCAUCCUCCAAGGCUAAAUACUACUGACUGACCGAUAGUGAACCAGUACCGUGAGGGAAAGGCGAAAAGAACCCCGGAGAGGGGAGUGAAAUAGAACCUGAAACCGUAUGCGUACAAGCAGUGGGAGCCUACUUGUUAGGUGACUGCGUACCUUUUGUAUAAUGGGUCAGCGACUUAUAUUCAGUGGCAAGCUUAACCGUAUAGGGUAGGCGUAGCGAAAGCGAGUCUUAAUAGGGCGUUUAGUCGCUGGGUAUAGACCCGAAACCGGGCGAUCUAUCCAUGAGCAGGUUGAAGGUUAGGUAACACUGACUGGAGGACCGAACCCACUCCCGUUGAAAAGGUAGGGGAUGACUUGUGGAUCGGAGUGAAAGGCUAAUCAAGCUCGGAGAUAGCUGGUUCUCCUCGAAAGCUAUUUAGGUAGCGCCUCAUGUAUCACUGGGGGGUAGAGCACUGUUUCGGCUAGGGGGUCAUCCCGACUUACCAAACCGAUGCAAACUCCGAAUACCCAGAAGUGCCGAGCAUGGGAGACACACGGCGGGUGCUAACGUCCGUCGUGAAAAGGGAAACAACCCAGACCGCCAGCUAAGGUCCCAAAGUUGUGGUUAAGUGGUAAACGAUGUGGGAAGGCUUAGACAGCUAGGAGGUUGGCUUAGAAGCAGCCACCCUUUAAAGAAAGCGUAAUAGCUCACUAGUCGAGUCGGCCUGCGCGGAAGAUGUAACGGGGCUCAAACCACACACCGAAGCUGCGGGUGUCACGUAAGUGACGCGGUAGAGGAGCGUUCUGUAAGCCUGUGAAGGUGAGUUGAGAAGCUUGCUGGAGGUAUCAGAAGUGCGAAUGCUGACAUGAGUAACGACAAUGGGUGUGAAAAACACCCACGCCGAAAGACCAAGGGUUCCUGCGCAACGUUAAUCGACGCAGGGUUAGUCGGUUCCUAAGGCGAGGCUGAAAAGCGUAGUCGAUGGGAAACAGGUUAAUAUUCCUGUACUUCUGGUUACUGCGAUGGAGGGACGGAGAAGGCUAGGCCAGCUUGGCGUUGGUUGUCCAAGUUUAAGGUGGUAGGCUGAAAUCUUAGGUAAAUCCGGGGUUUCAAGGCCGAGAGCUGAUGACGAGUCGUCUUUUAGAUGACGAAGUGGUUGAUGCCAUGCUUCCAAGAAAAGCUUCUAAGCUUCAGGUAACCAGGAACCGUACCCCAAACCGACACAGGUGGUCGGGUAGAGAAUACCAAGGCGCUUGAGAGAACUCGGGUGAAGGAACUAGGCAAAAUGGCACCGUAACUUCGGGAGAAGGUGCGCCGGCUAGGGUGAAGGAUUUACUCCGUAAGCUCUGGCUGGUCGAAGAUACCAGGCCGCUGCGACUGUUUAUUAAAAACACAGCACUCUGCAAACACGAAAGUGGACGUAUAGGGUGUGACGCCUGCCCGGUGCCGGAAGGUUAAUUGAUGGGGUUAGCGCAAGCGAAGCUCUUGAUCGAAGCCCCGGUAAACGGCGGCCGUAACUAUAACGGUCCUAAGGUAGCGAAAUUCCUUGUCGGGUAAGUUCCGACCUGCACGAAUGGCGUAACGAUGGCGCGCUGUCUCCACCCGAGACUCAGUGAAAUUGAAAUCGCUGUGAAGAUGCAGUGUAUCCGCGGCUAGACGGAAAGACCCCGUGAACCUUUACUGUAGCUUUGCACUGGACUUUGAGCCUGCUUGUGUAGGAUAGGUGGGAGGCUUUGAAGCGUGGACGCCAGUUCGCGUGGAGCCAUCCUUGAAAUACCACCCUGGCAUGCUUGAGGUUCUAACUCUGGUCCGUGAUCCGGAUCGAGGACAGUGUAUGGUGGGCAGUUUGACUGGGGCGGUCUCCUCCUAAAGAGUAACGGAGGAGUACGAAGGUGCGCUCAGACCGGUCGGAAAUCGGUCGUAGAGUAUAAAGGCAAAAGCGCGCUUGACUGCGAGACAGACACGUCGAGCAGGUACGAAAGUAGGUCUUAGUGAUCCGGUGGUUCUGUAUGGAAGGGCCAUCGCUCAACGGAUAAAAGGUACUCCGGGGAUAACAGGCUGAUACCGCCCAAGAGUUCAUAUCGACGGCGGUGUUUGGCACCUCGAUGUCGGCUCAUCACAUCCUGGGGCUGAAGCCGGUCCCAAGGGUAUGGCUGUUCGCCAUUUAAAGUGGUACGCGAGCUGGGUUUAGAACGUCGUGAGACAGUUCGGUCCCUAUCUGCCGUGGACGUUUGAGAUUUGAGAGGGGCUGCUCCUAGUACGAGAGGACCGGAGUGGACGAACCUCUGGUGUUCCGGUUGUCACGCCAGUGGCAUUGCCGGGUAGCUAUGUUCGGAAAAGAUAACCGCUGAAAGCAUCUAAGCGGGAAACUUGCCUCAAGAUGAGAUCUCACUGGGAACUUGAUUCCCCUGAAGGGCCGUCGAAGACUACGACGUUGAUAGGCUGGGUGUGUAAGCGUUGUGAGGCGUUGAGCUAACCAGUACUAAUUGCCCGUGAGGCUUGACCAU
rnacentral:rRNA from 1 species